CCUACGGGGGGCUGCAGUGAGGAAUAUUGGUCAAUGGUCGGGAGACUGAACCAGCCAAGCCGCGUGAGGGAGGAAGGUACAGAGUAUCGUAAACCUCUUUUGUCAGGGAACAAAGACUGGGACGCGUCCCCGGAUGAGUGUACCUGAAGAAAAAGCAUCGGCUAACUCCGUGCCAGCAGCCGCGGUAAUCCGGAGGAUGCGUGCGUUAUCCGGAUUUAUUGGGUUAAAGGGGUGCGAAGGCGGUUUGUUAAGUCAGCGGUAAAAGCCCGGGGCUCAACCCCGGCCCGCCGUUGAAACUGGCAGUCUCGAGUUGGAGAGAAGUAUGCGGAAUGCGCGGUGUAGCGGUGAAAUGCAUAGAUAUCGCGCAGAACUCCGAUUGCGAAGGCAGCAUGCCGGCUCCACACUGACGCUGAGGCACGAAAGCGUGGGUAUCGAACAGGAUUAGAUACCCCUGUAGUC
rnacentral:rRNA from 1 species